CAGCCGUAAACUAUGCUCGCUAGGUGUCAGGCAUGGCGCGACCGUGUCUGGUGCCGCAGGGAAGCCGUGAAGCGAGCCACCUGGGAAGUACGGCCGCAAGGCUGAAACUUAAAGGAAUUGGCGGGGGAGCACAACAACGGGUGGAGCCUGCGGUUUAAUUGGACUCAACGCCGGACAACUCACCGGGGACGACAGCAAUAUGUAGGCCAGGCUGAAGACCUUGCCUGAAUCGCUGAGAGGAGGUGCAUGGCGUCAGUGACU
rnacentral:rRNA from 1 species